GCCCUGGUGGCUUAACGGUUAAGUGCUCAGUUGCUAACCAAAAGGUUGGCGGUUCAAACCCGCCCAGCGGCU
rnacentral:tRNA from 1 species